AUCGUUUUGUAGUUCAUAAGUGUGAUAAUUGAGUUUUCACUCACCAAUGAGAGAUGUGCCCACCUCAAACCUUGUCACAAUGUCAGCACAUUACUUGUCUGAAG